rnacentral:ribozyme from 1 species
UGCCUAGCAACUCCUAUCCCUACCUCUUCAUGGUACUGCCCGGGGUACUGGCCGGAGUAUUAGCAACUCAAGCAAUUAGAGAAGAUCGGGUAACUAACCCCGGUCUCAACUUUGAUCGUAUGCUGAUAUGGAAGG